rnacentral:rRNA from 1 species
CGGCGACCGGCGCACGGGUGCGUAACGCGUAUCGAACCUACCACAUACUCAGGGAUAGCCUUGCGAAAGUAAGAUUAAUACCUGAUGUUAUUAAACAAUCGCAUGAUGGUUUAAUCAAAGAUUUAUUGGUAUGUGAUGGCGAUGCGUCUGAUUAGGUAGUAGGCGGGGUAACGGCCCACCUAGCCAUCGAUCAGUAGGGGUUCUGAGAGGAAGGUCCCCCACAUUGGAACUGAGACACGGUCCAAACUCC